UACGUAGGGUGCAAGCGUUAAUCGGAAUUACUGGGCGUAAAGCGUGCGCAGGCGGUUGUGCAAGUCAGAUGUGAAAUCCCCGGGCUUAACCUGGGAACUGCAUUUGUGACUGCACGGCUAGAGUACGGCAGAGGGGGAUGGAAUUCCGCGUGUAGCAGUGAAAUGCGUAGAUAUGCGGAGGAACACCAAUGGCGAAGGCAGUCCCCUGGGCCUGUACUGACGCUCAUGCACGAAAGCGUGGGGAGCAAACAGG
rnacentral:rRNA from 1 species